rnacentral:rRNA from 1 species
GUAGGUGGCAAGCGUUGUCCGGAAUUAUUGGGCGUAAAGCGCGCGCAGGCGGUUCUUUAAGUCUGAUGUGAAAGCCCACGGCUCAACCGUGGAGGGUCAUUGGAAACUGGAGAACUUGAGUACAGAAGAGGAAAGCGGAAUUCCACGCGUAGCGGUGAAAUGCGUAGAGAUGUGGAGGAACACCAGUGGCGAAGGCGGCUUUCUGGUCUGUAACUGACGCUGAGGCGCGAAAGCGUGGGGGAGCAAACAGGAUUAGAUACCCUGGUAGUCCACGCCGUAAACGAUGAGUGCUAAGUGUUAGGGGGUUUCCGCCCCUUAGUGCUGCAGCUAACGCAUUAAGCACUCCGCCUGGGAGUACGGCCGCAAGGCUG